GAGACUCUAGUAAACUCAAUACAUAGCCCUGUCAGCGCUAAAUAAUGGGUGCAACCCCCAUGAGACUCU
rnacentral:tRNA from 1 species